rnacentral:misc_RNA from 1 species
CCUCCUUUCUAAGGACGCCAGAGAUGCUUUAUGCUUAUCUCUGGAUAGUCAAAGUCGAAACAGACUCUCUUCUCUUCUCUCCCUUUUCUCCUGUAAAUUCUAAGUUAUGAAUUUAGAGCAACGAAGGAAUUAGAUUCGUUACUGUGGACUCCUAAUUUCAAGAGGGGCCUGUAGCUCAGCUUGGUUAGAGCGCAUCCCUGAUAAGGAUGAGGCCGGUGGUUCAAGUCCACCCAGGCCCACCAGCUCAUUUCUGAUAUGGAUUUGGAUUUGGCGACUAUAAUGGUAGCAAAUCUAAGGCAUGGUAAUCCAAAUCAGAUAUUAAAGAUCGGGGGAUUAGCUCAGCUGGUAGAGCGCCUGCUUUGCAAGCAGGAGGUCAGCGGUUCGAACCCGCUAUCCUCCACCAAAUUAAUGAACAGUAAAAAAGGUGGUGUAGCUUAAGCAGAAGAUAAGCUUCAGCAAUUAU